CACGUAGGGCGCGAGCGUUGUCCGGAAUUAUUGGGCGUAAAGAGCUCGUAGGCGGCCUGUUGCGUCCGCUGUGAAAGCCCGGGGCUUAACCCCGGGUCGCAGUGGAUACGGGCAGGCUAGAGGUAGGUAGGGGAGAAUGGAAUUCCCGGUGUAGCGGUGAAAUGCGCAGAUAUCGGGAGGAACACCGGUGGCGAAGGCGGUUCUCUGGGCCUUACCUGACGCUGAGGAGCGAAAAGCGUGGGGAGCGAACAGG
rnacentral:rRNA from 1 species